GGGAAAAUCGGUUUGAAGGGCACUUGAAUCACUUUUGUUUUUCUUUCUUUUUGGUCCAUUAUCUAAUAACGCAAAUCGAUUUGCGUUAAUGUUUGGUAGCCCCGGGGCCAUGGUGCACGUGUUUUUAAAGUUCACGUAAACAAAAGUAUGCGUAUGCACAGAAAUAGAAAAAAGCGAAAAAGCGGAUAGGCUGAGCUGAGAAAGAACGAAAUCAAAAAAACUCCGUACGCGCAAAAACAAACGUCUAAUCUGCAAGAGAGUUAGUCGAUGACUGAUAUCUAAUUCAAUUGUGUAUACAUAGUUUCAACUGUUUUUUUUUUAUAUUUAUUGUUAUUUUCUUCUGUCGUUACAUGCAGUAUAAAACUAUUCAAAUGUUUGAGAAAAUGCCUAGGAAGCGGAAAUCUGGUAUAUCCAAAAUUUCAUCGCGGGGCCGUGACGCAAAAAUUCCACGAAAUCAAGAAAUUUCGGCUCACGCAGAGCUGAGAAGACAACAACAGGUAGAGCGACAAAGAGUUUUGAGAGCUGAAACGCCUCUUCAGGCACCAGUUCGUUUAGAAAAACAAGCUACACUGCAGACAACUAGAAGAGCGAUAGAAACACCAGAACAAUCGCAGGUGAGGAGAACUAACAAUGCAGACAUGCAGACCACCCGCCGCCGAAAUUUCAUGCGUAAUGAUUGUAUUUAUGACUGUAUUUAAUGGUACUGGGUUUCAAUAUGAUCCUUCAAUUGAAUAUCAUAAUCAUCCCUUGAUUGUUAUUGGCUAAAUUAAUAAAAAAUGUCAGUACUGCGAUGCUUUUAAAUGGAAACAUGAAACUGCUGGAAUGUGCUGUUCUGUUAAUAAUUAAUUUUUAUUGAACCGAGAGCUUAGACCAUUUUUGGUCCAAAAAACGUAAUCAAUUUUUAUCAAAGUAAUUUAACAGUAGAUAGUAGUAUUAGGGUCAGUCAGGUUUCUUCCGGCAACUCGGGCCUACGGUAAUUGAUGUUUCGACUCCAAGGCAUCCAUUCACUGGAAGUCAAAGAAGGUGUUAAUAUCUCCAAUGUGAAUUGCGCUCAGUUGUUUUCGUCAGGAAUUACGUUGGUUUAUGGCUGAAAAUCGUCAACAUAUUAUAGGAAGCUUUUCUUAAUGAUUCUAGAAGGCGGUCCCGAACCAAAAACUGCAAAUAUAAUUUUGCAAAAACAUCCCAGCAGAAACUGGUGGACAGAAG